GCGAUAUGCUUUGGGUAGCUGUAAGUAAGCGUUGAUCCAGAGAUUUCCGAAUGGGGGAACCCAGCAUGAGUUAUGUCAUGUUAUCGACAUGUGAAUUCAUAGCAUGUCAGAAGGCAGACCCGGAGAACUGAAACAUCUUAGUACCCGGAGGAAGAGAAAGAAAAAUCGAUUCCCUGAGUAGCGGCGAGCGAAACGGGAAGAGCCCAAACCAACAAGCUUGCUUGUUGGGGUUGUAGGACACUCUAUACGGAGUUACAAAAGAACAUGUUAGACGAAUCAUCUGGAAAGAUGAAUCAAAGAAGGUAAUAAUCCUGUAGUCGAAAACAUAUUCUCUCUUGAGUGGAUCCUGAGUACGACGGAGCACGUGAAAUUCCGUCGGAAUCUGGGAGGACCAUCUCCUAAGGCUAAAUACUCUCUAGUGACCGAUAGUGAACCAGUACCGUGAGGGAAAGGUGAAAAGUACCCCGGAAGGGGAGUGAAAGAGAACUUGAAACCGUGUGCUUACAAGUAGUCAGAGCCCGUUAAUGGGUGAUGGCGUGCCUUUUGUAGAAUGAACCGGCGAGUUACGAUCUGAUGCAAGGUUAAGCAGCAAAUGUGGAGCCGCAGCGAAAGCGAGUCUGAAUAGGGCGUUGAGUAUUUGGUCGUAGACCCGAAACCAGGUGAUCUACCCUUGGUCAGGUUGAAGUUCAGGUAACACUGAAUGGAGGACCGAACCGACUUACGUUGAAAAGUGAGCGGAUGAACUGAGGGUAGCGGAGAAAUUCCAAUCGAACUUGGAGAUAGCUGGUUCUCUCCGAAAUAGCUUUAGGGCUAGCCUCAAGUGAUGAUUAUUGGAGGUAGAGCACUGUUUGGACGAGGGGCCCCUCUCGGGUUACCGAAUUCAGACAAACUCCGAAUGCCAAUUAAUUUAACUUGGGAGUCAGAACAUGGGUGAUAAGGUCCGUGUUCGAAAGGGAAACAGCCCAGACCACCAGCUAAGGUCCCAAAAUAUAUGUUAAGUGGAAAAGGAUGUGGCGUUGCCCAGACAACUAGGAUGUUGGCUUAGAAGCAGCCAUCAUUUAAAGAGUGCGUAAUAGCC
rnacentral:rRNA from 1 species